GUGGGGAAUCUUGCGCAAUGGGCGAAAGCCUGACGCAGCCAUGCCGCGUGAAUGAUGAAGGUCUUAGGAUUGUAAAAUUCUUUCACCGGGGACGAUAAUGACGGUACCCGGAGAAGAAGCCCCGGCUAACUUCGUGCCAGCAGCCGCGGUAAUACGAAGGGGGCUAGCGUUGCUCGGAAUUACUGGGCGUAAAGGGCGCGUAGGCGGACAGUUUAGUCAGAGGUGAAAGCCCAGGGCUAAACCUUGGAAUUGCCUUUGAUACUGGCUGUCUUGAGUACGGGAGAGGUGAGUGGAACUCCGAGUGUAGAGGUGAAAUUCGUAGAUAUUCGGAAGAACACCAGUGGCGAAGGCGACUCACUGGCCCGUUACUGACGCUGAGGCGCGAAAGCGUGGGGAGCAAACAGGAUUAGAUACCCGGGUAGUCC
rnacentral:rRNA from 1 species